AUUGUCCGAGGCUGAACUCCAGUGAAACCUUUGAGAGGGCAGAAGAGAGAGAAACAUCGAUGUGAGAGAGAAACAUGGAUGAAUAGGCUGCUUCCCAUAUGAGCCCCACCCAGGGAUUGAACCUGUAACCUAGAUAUAUGCCCUCAUGGAAUGAAACCUGCAACUUUUUGGUGCACAGGACGAUGAUCCAACCAAGGAAAACUUGGAAAAGUGGCUGACAGAGACAACUGCACCUUCUGCUUCUUCCUUUUUGGAGUGUAGUCAGCACACCUGGAUAUAGUCUGGAGCUCUGCUCAUAACAACCAAGCAUACUGUGGAUAAGAGCAUGCUGAACAGAAGUAGGAAAGGUAUUUUUUUGUGGAGCCUCUAUUCCAUCUAAACCUUUUUAUUUACAUGAGAAAAAAAAGUAUGCAUUAAUUUGUUUACAGUAUAGUGUUAUGUACUCUGUCAUAGGGAAAUGCAAUUCCUAAUGUAAUUAGUGUGAGUAAUAUUCAAAAUAUUUGUUCUGUUAAAAUCAACUACUUUUAACUUGCCUUGUAGUACUAGAGGACCAAGGGGACUGUGGAAUGCAAGAAAUUUGUCUUAAUCUGGGUUGUUGUUAUCCAGAUAGUCUAAUUGCUGGCGAGUCUCUCCUAUUGGCCAAGAUGGUAGCAGAGGGAGUUUCUUACACUGAGCGUGUCCAAGGCUAGAGAUAUGAAUGGAUAGGACCCGGAGCAUCAGCAGCUGACUCAUGAGUUUGGGUUUUGUGGUAGCAGGCAGCUGAACCUUUGCUUUUGUUCUGUUACAUUGUGGUUACAUGUACAUGUGAGAUAUGUAACAUAUCUCACAUAUAUAAAAAUUAAUGAGUUGUACACUGAUUAAUGAUGCAGACAUCGGCCCACAGUGUCCACAGCAUUGUGUAUGA